rnacentral:rRNA from 1 species
UACGAAGGGGGCGAGCGUUGUUCGGAAUUACUGGGCGUAAAGGGCGCGCAGGCGGCUCAGCCAGUCAGAUGUGAAAGCCCCGGGCUUAACCUGGGAACUGCAUUUGAUACUACUGAGCUUGAGUACGGGAGAGGAUAGUGGAAUUCCCAGUGUAGAGGUGAAAUUCGUAGAUAUUGGGAAGAACACCGGUGGCGAAGGCGGCUAUCUGGACCGUAACUGACGCUGAGGCGCGAAAGCGUGGGGAGCAAACAGG